UACGUAGGGUGCGAGCGUUGUCCGGAAUUAUUGGGCGUAAAGAGCUUGUAGGCGGUUUGUCGCGUCUGCUGUGAAAAUCCGAGGCUCAACCUCGGACUUGCAGUGGGUACGGGCAGACUAGAGUGUGGUAGGGGAGACUGGAAUUCCUGGUGUAGCGGUGAAAUGCGUAGAUAUCGGGAAGUACACCGAAGGCGAAAGCACUCUGCUGGGCCGAAACUGACACUGAUAGACGAAAGCUAGGGGAGCAAAUGGG
rnacentral:rRNA from 1 species